UGCAGCAGCCGAUGUCUGCAUCUGGCG
rnacentral:misc_RNA from 1 species